GUCCUGGAGAAUGGUAGCCGAGUGGAUAAAGCGUUUAUAGCGAUUUACUCGGUACUGAAGGUUGAUGGUUCGAUUCCAUCCCAGAACA